GAUGAAGAACGCAGUGAAAUGCGAUAAGUAAUGUGAAUUGCAGAAUUCAGUGAAUCAUCGAAUCUUUGAACGCACCUUGCGCCCUUUGGCUAUUCCGAAGGGCAUGCCUGUUUGAGUAUCAUGAACACCUCAACUCUUCACGGCUUGCUGUGAUGAGUUUGGACUUUGGGGGUCUUGCUGGCCUACGAGCCAGCUCCUCUCAAAUGUAUUAGCUUGCCGGUGUUUGGUGGCAUCACAGGUGUGAUAACUAUCUACGCUUGUGGUUUUCCACUAGGUAACCUUCAGCAAUGGAGGUUCACCGGAGCUCACAAAUGUCUCUCCUUGCCAAGGACAGAUUUUGACCAUUUGAUCUCAAAUCAGGUAGGACUACCCGCUGAACUUAAGCAUAUCAAUAAGCGGAGGA
rnacentral:misc_RNA from 1 species